ACGGGAGGCAGCAGUGGGGAAUAUUGCACAAUGGGCGAAAGCCUGAUGCAGCGACGCCGCGUGAGUGAAGAAGUAUCUCGGUAUGUAAAGCUCUAUCAGCAGGGAAGAAAAUGACGGUACCUGACUAAGAAGCCCCGGCUAACUACGUGCCAGCAGCCGCGGUAAUACGUAGGGGGCAAGCGUUAUCCGGAUUUACUGGGUGUAAAGGGUGCGUAGGCGGCAUGGUAAGUCAGUCGUUAAAGACCAGAGCUUAACUCUGGACCAGCGAUUGAAACUAUCAAGCUAGAGUACAGGAGAGGUUAGUGGAAUUACUAGUGUAGAGGUGGAAUUCAUAGAUAUUAGUAAGAACACCAAUGGCGAAGGCAGCUAACUGGCCUGAAACUGACGCUGAGGCACGAAAGUGUGGGGAGCAAACAGGAUUAGAUACCCUGGUA
rnacentral:rRNA from 1 species